CUCCCACGGGGGGCAGCAGUGGGGAAUAUUGCACAAUGGGGGAAACCCUGAUGCAGCGACGCCGCGUGAGUGAGGAAGUAUUGCGGUAUGUAAAGCUCUAUCAGCAGGGAAGAAAAUGACGGUACCUGACUAAGAAGCCCCGGCUAACUACGUGCCAGCAGCCGCGGUAAUACGUAGGGGGCAAGCGUUAUCCGGAUUUACUGGGUGUAAAGGGAGCGUAGACGGACUGUUAAGUCAGCGGUAAAAGCCCGGGGCGCAACCCCGGGGCUGCAUUGGA
rnacentral:rRNA from 1 species